AAAAAUGGUUUACAAUUAUUAUUAUUGAAAUGUUUUUUCAUAAUAUUUAGCUGACUAUAAUAUCGUACAAUUACAACAAAAAUACUUAUAAAUCAUAUGAUUUCACAAAACAAUCACAAUUUUAGUGCUGGCUUUUAAGAGAUACUAGCUUUUGAUCCGCGCGGGCGCGCGGAUGUAUGUUUAUGCUAUCAAAAUUUAACAAUGCCAUAAACAUAAUUGUUUAGAUGUUCUAGUUAUAUAUUCAUAAUUAUUUACAAAGUUGUGUCUUCCUUGAUGUAUUUAGCGAUCAGUUAUAAACUAUGAGAUUGUGUUCUCUCAUUUAUAGUGCUUUUAUUUAUUCUACUUGGAAAACUAUAAUUAAAAUGUAGAAUGUGAAAGUUUAAAGUUUACUUGUUGGUUUUUUGAAAUUAUAUUUGUAUUUAAAGUUGAAAAUGCUUAAUAUAAUUUCAUAUUGAUAUUUAUAAAAAAAUCAAAAUACAUUAUUUAAAAUAGUGGUUGCAUAACAUACAUUAAGAACAUACAAAAUAAGUUAUUUAGUUUUGCUAAUUAGAUAAGGCAAGAUUCAUUUUAAUUAAACAAUGGGCCCAUUUUAUUAUCAACUUAUCAUUAAAAAUUUGGUACUUAACAAAUAUAAAAAUAUUGAACCGUAAUGGACUGAAAACAUGAAUCAAAGCCCAUAUUUCUUUUUGUCCAGGAAAAAAAAAACAGAAACUCGUUGUCUUUUUACCGACUUUUCACAUCCAAGAAGAAAGUUUACCCUUAUUUGCUAACUACAGUCCUGAAACUGGUUCUGCAAAUAAGAAGAACGGCUGUAAUAAUUUGAACGGUUCGGAUCAUAAGGGGAAGGAGUUUCACCACUGGAAUUAGAAAUUAGUAACAGGGACCUACGACUCGUUAUGCAGAAAGAGAGAGGGAACAUAAAUGAUUUAAAGAAAAGCUCAGGCAGAUACAUGGGGAACAUAGAGAUGAGCAUCAGUUGUAACUUCACAGAGAAAAGGGAAGACACGCUGAUCAGUAAUCAAGUUGCAACAUAACUAAGAAGCCAACAUGGAAUGGAAAACAGACUUAUCCCACGGCAAGGUAACUCCGUACUUAUCAUUCACAGCCGCAAGAAAAGUAGGAAAGUCUAGAUUAAGCUAUUAGGUUGAAGAACCCUGCCUUAAGUUUAGAUGUUUGGUUUUUAUUUUCUUGAGUGAUGCAUAUUUGGAUUUAUGUUAUAUGACAGUAUUAUAUAACACCAAAUUUAAUUCCCUAUAUCUUAUGAUGUUACGUUGAAAUGAAUGUUUGAAAAUAAAGAUGUUACGUUGAUUGCACAAAUAACAACUUGGCUUUCUGAACCAGCAACAUUUUUCCAUAAGAGAGAACCUGUGAAAGACUAACCUGUAAAGAGCAAAAGGGGAAAUUUAUUAUAAUAACUUUUCUUAAUUGGAUAUAUAAGAACACAUAGUAAUCUAAACUUAAAAAAGAACACAUCGAAA